GACGAACGCUGGCGGCGUGCUUAACACAUGCAAGUCGAACGGAAAGGCCCCUUUGGGGGUACUCGAGUGGCGAACGGGUGAGUAACACGUGAGUAACCUGCCCUUGACUUCGGGAUAACUUCAGGAAACUGGGGCUAAUACCGGAUAGGAAUCCUUGCUGCAUGGUGGGGGUUGGAAAGCUUCGGCGGUUUUGGAUGGACUCGCGGCUUAUCAGCUUGUUGGUGGGGUAGUGGCUUACCAAGGCGUUGACGGGUAGCCGGCCUGAGAGGGCGACCGGCCACAUUGGGACUGAGACAAGGCCCAGACGCCGACGGGAGGCAGCAGUGGGGAAUAUUGCACAAUGGGCGGAAGCCUGAUGCAGCAACGCCGCGUGCGGGAUGACGGCCUUCGGGUUGUAAACCGCUUUCAGCAGGGGCGAAGCUUGUGGUGACGGUACCUGCAGAAGAAGCACCGGCUAACUACGUG
rnacentral:rRNA from 1 species